UACGUAGGGAGCGAGCGUUGUCCGGAUUUACUGGGUGUAAAGGGUGCGUAGGCGGCUCUGCAAGUCAGAAGUGAAAUCUAUGGGCUUAACCCGUAAACUGCUUUUGAAACUGUGGAGCUUGAGUGAAGUAGAGGUAGGCGGAAUUCCCGGUGUAGCGGUGAAAUGCGUAGAGAUCGGGAGGAACACCAGUGGCGAAGGCGGCCUACUGGGCUUUAACUGACGCUGAGGCACGAAAGCGUGGGUAGCAAACAGG
rnacentral:rRNA from 1 species